rnacentral:ncRNA from 1 species
AAGAGGUCUUUAAGAGGUUGCAGUUCAAGGUGGAGGAUCUGGAGAGAUAAACCUGGACAAAGAUGGUGCCUUGGCCUUCUUCAGCAUGAUUGAAUACUCUAAGUGGGCCAGCCUUCUCGAAUCUCUUUCAACAAGCACAUUGGCAGUGGGGGCUGGCAGGCUGCCACUCAGGCCUGGGGUGGUACACCUGUCAAACAAUAAUGCAGGUGUCCUAAGGUGAGCCCAGGAAGGUCAGCUCCUGUGGACCAGGACAAACACUCAUUUGAUCUUGAUUUUCAGUAUGAAUACACAUUAUGAAAGCAGGCCCUCAUGAUCCUUCUGAUCUUUUGGGUUUUAAGCAAGAGGUGUCAGAAAAGCUACCACUAAUAACCAAGAUAACUGGUUUGUGGUGGCCAAUGGUUCAUAACAGUGUUGCUUUAUGAUCCUCUGAUACUGUCUCUUCCUAUCAUUAUGAAGCAGAAUUCCCCAAGCAUUGGAUUGUUCAUCCACUGGUAGGAAAGGUGACCUGGGGUUAGACCAUCAUGGGUAGGUUAGUUUUAC